UCGAAUAAAUCAAAAUAACCGAUCACGGGACAAAAGCUCAUUCACAAUUUAAAAACCAGUUUUUUUUUUGUAUUCGUUAAAUUCUCCUCCUUUUUUUUAAUACGCAUGAAAACCGCGACGGACGCAGCAUCCGCGGCCUCUAUAGAUUCUUUGUGCGCACAAAAGACAAAGUACUCGAUAGACCGGUUUUUUAUUUUUUUAUUAUGUUUUUCUGAACCGCUAUUUAGGUCACCAACGGCUAGUUUGCGUGUAUCCGAAUCAGUUUAUACUGGAUCCCGGUGCGGGAACGUUUGACAGUUUUUUUUUUUUUGUGAAAAAAAGAAACUAAUUCGAUUUUUAAAUUAGCCGCGCGAUUCGAUUGUUUUAAUUGAUUGUCUGUGUGUCUGUGAUGUGAGCUUUUGUGCGUUUUUGAGAAGCAGCCCUGCACCAAAGAAGGUCGUCAUAUCGUCGUCUUGAGUGGUCACUGCUACCGCUAAUGUUACUUAAAGGACCAGACGGCACAUCACUACACACUUCAAUAUACAUUCAUACAUUCACGUCCCCUCCCUACGCAAUAAUUAAUUAAUUUAACGACCUCUUGUUACUAUUAAAGGCUGGGGAAUUGAUUUUGUAAUUGUUCUUAAGAAAGUAGUUGUGUGAUAAAAUGAUUAUGCCAAUGUGUUGCCUAAUAAUCAAUCCUUUGGGAUCGUUUAUCGACUUUAAGUGUAGACAUAGUGAUUUUAAAAUGAUUCUUUGCACGUCGAGUGAGAAGAACCUUUUCUUAACAGAGGGACAAUUACAGGCUAAUGAUGAGGAUUACCUAAUAAAUAUUUAGUUAUUUGA